UACGAAGGGGGCUAGCGUUGCUCGGAAUCACUGGGCGUAAAGGGUGCGUAGGCGGGUCUUUAAGUCAGGGGUGAAAUCCUGGAGCUCAACUCCAGAACUGCCCUUGAUACUGAAGAUCUUGAGUUCGGGAGAGGUGAGUGGAACUGCGAGUGUAGAGGUGAAAUUCGUAGAUAUUCACAAGAACACCAGUGGCGAAGGCGGCUCACUGGCCCGAUACUGACGCUGAGGCACGAAAGCGUGGGGAGCAAACAGG
rnacentral:rRNA from 1 species